UACGUAGGGUGCAAGCGUUGUCCGGAAUUAUUGGGCGUAAAGAGCUCGUAGGCGGUUUGUCGCGUCGGCUGUGAAAACCUGGGGCUCAACCCCGGGCCUGCAGCCGAUACGGGCAAACUAGAAUUCGGUAGGGGAGACUGGAAUUCCUGGUGUAGCGGUGAAAUGCGCAGAUAUCAGGAGGAACACCGGUGGCGAAGGCGGGUCUCUGGGCAGUUACUGACGCUGAGGAGCGAAAGCGUGGGGAGCGAACAGG
rnacentral:rRNA from 1 species